rnacentral:lncRNA from 1 species
GGAAAAGAAAUAGCGAAGGAAGACCUCGAUUCUCGAUCGCAACUGCAUGAUAGGUACCUCUUUUUUUUUUUGCGGGGAAGCAUGAUAGGUACUUCAGUCCGUGGGAAAUUAGUUCUCCAGAGAUGCAUCACCAAUCUAUCGCCAUGAUACCCAUCCCAUGUUACCUACACACGCCUGCUUUUUUCUCGUGCAAGAGAGCCUUUUGCCCAUAGCCUGCCAGGUACUCGAUCCGAUCGACGGCUCGAUGGCACCCAAGUUAAAAGUGUGCCUGCAUGCUGCAUUGAGAUCUGAUGCAAUCCUCACUGACGUGCGACGACAACCAACGAAAGUACGAGUAGUUUUCAGAUAAUUAAGUAUGGCAUGCAAGCUGCCAUGCUGCCCAGUUUUAGUUUAACGCAAGGUACGUUAUGCUGACCGUGCACAAACUUAAUUACUCAUGCGAUC